GAGAUUCAGCUUUUAAGUAGAUGUGUUUCAAUUGCAGUGGGUCAUUUUUUCACUAAGCGGCUUAAUGAUGAAAUAUGAAUAUUAGUAAAGUCUCUGUAGGUGGUGGUUAGUUAGAUAAAACCUAUGGAGUAUUUUUUAAGGGCUAUUUCUCAAUAUACACACUUAGCUGUUCUUAUGUACUUGCAUACUUUGGAAACAUCAUCAGUGGAACCCAAAGUAUUGUCCCAAAUAAUAAUUAUAAUAAUAAUAAUACUUGUUAUAUAUAUAGGUGCCAUUCUGGGCACCAUACAUUGGUUAAAAACAAUACAACAAAAACAACAAUAAAAAGUGAUCAUAAAGCAAAAAAACACAAAUCAGGCUAAACUUACACAUUGCAAAAGAAAUCUUAGGGAAAAUGGCGUUUUGAGUUUGGUUUUGAAGAGUGGGAGUGGAGUGGCGUUAAUGAGUUCUGCAGGUGGACGGUUCGAAAGGUCAGGUGCUGAGUGACUGAAUGCUCUGCUCCCCAUGGUGGUGAGACGGGCAGGUGGGACAGUCGGGUGGAUAGAGGAGGAGGAUCGGUGGAGGCCGUAGCAACAAGGAGGAGAUUAGACAGGUAUGGAGGGAAGAGACUGUGAAUGGACUUAAAUGCUAAGAGGAGGAAUUUAAACUGAAUUUGAAACUGUAUGGGAGCCAGUGGAGCUGUUGUUAAUCGGAUGGAUAUGGUGGAUAGAGGGGGCCAUUGUGAUGAUGCGGGCAGCUGAAUUCUGGACUAGCUGCAGUUUAUGUAAGAAUUUAUGAGUGACACCUGGGAGGAGAGAAUUCAGAAUCAGACAUACUUUAAUAAUCCCAGGGGGAAAUUGUUGUUUCAGUACAAUCACCAUAACAUGAACAAACAAACAUCACAAACAUUUCAGGGGGAGACGAUUUACUGAGACCUUGCUGCCAAGGUCAACGGCCUUACGCGGUGCCCACAGGGCGCUGCCUUUACUCUGUGAAAAGAUAGAGGCCACAAAAAAA